GGACGAUUGAGGAGUCCCACAAUAGGACGAAACGGCCGUCCAGUGC
rnacentral:hammerhead_ribozyme from 1 species